rnacentral:rRNA from 1 species
UACGUAGGGUGCAAGCGUUGUCCGGAGUUACUGGGCGUAAAGGGUGCGUAGGCGGUUUGGUAAGUCGGAUGUGAAAGCCCCGGGCUCAACUCGGGAAGUGCACUCGAUACUGCUAAACUUGAGUGUCGGAGAGGUUGGUGGAAUUCUCGGUGUAGAGGUGAAAUUCGUAGAUAUCGAGAGGAACACCGGUGGCGAAGGCGGCCAACUGGACGAACACUGACGCUGAGACACGAAAGCGUGGGGAGCAAACAGG